GGGGUAUCAUUCGUUGUGUUCGUACGCCUCGGCGGCGGUGGCUAUGAAUGUAGUGCCCUGGUCAGCGCAUGAAGACAUCAAUUGUUCUCAGUCGUCGGUUUCGCGCUGUCGUAUGUGGACGUGUGUGUGUUGGGGAGGCGCUAGAUCCUGAGGGGUAUCAUUCGCUGUGUUCGUACGCCUCGGCGCCGGUGGCUAUGAAUGUAGUGCCCUGGUCAGCGCAUGAAGACAUCAAUUGUUCUCAGUCGUCGGUUUCGCGCUGUCGUAGGUGGACGUCUGUGUGUGUUGUGCUUCUUGUUUCAUGCUAAUUACCACAUGGAGGUGGAACCCCUGUAGCUGGCCAGAAAGGCCAGGACUGUCAGAUGCCAUACAUGAAUUGGGUAUGGGAUAGAGAGAGAAGUAUUGGGAUUCUAUUGGAGAAUUUGCAUACCCCUGCUUAUGCUAGUCCUCACUAGGCCAACCAAAGCAGGCACACAAUUGUUCUCGUGCUGAGCUGACAUAUUUGUAACUGACACUGUUUAUGUUUUACUUUCAGUAAUUUCACACUACUCACAAUAAUGUUUUACUUUCAGUUCAAGAUCUUCAAACAGAGCUGACCCAGCAGAAGGCCUCUGGUGGCAUACUGUAAUCAAGUGUGCCACUCCCACGGGAUUAUUGCAUUGGCCUUUUGCAUUCAUGCCUGAAUGCUGUCCAGGGCAUCUCACAGGCACCAGCUGCGUGACGAUGCCCCACCCCACGGAUUGUCUUAUGCCAACAGCGUGCUCCCGUAGGGAGCUAUGGACACUAGAAGAUGGACUGUGGACAUGCUAAGGAAUUCUUCAGUAGCUUCAUGGUGCACGGGAGAAGAAACAGCAGACCUGGACGAAGUAAACAAACGGCCCUUAUCGGGCCACCAUAUGUCUGCCACAAUGGCUAGCGUUCUGCUGAUAGAACAAACCCUGAUGGUGAUAGAAGAUCACUGAACUAACCAUAACUCAAGCACGAUGGCUACAACUGUGCUGAUGUUGCGAGAGACCUGUACUAUGUCUUUUGCAAAAGCUAUCACCGUUUCUCGACAAAAGUGACGUGGAGAAUGUACUGGAUGCCUCCAUUUUUCCCCUUUCUCUUCGUACUAUAAAGGUAGUUCUUUUUGUGUAGUCCAAUAAUAUGAGAAUUAGAAAAAAGGUCUUUGGGUGUACUUGACAUAAUUGUAUGCCAGUCUAUAUCAUUGAACCCCUGUGACACUGAGGACAAAACUUUACAAGACAGUAUAUUUGGGUCUGAAGAACGCCAUUGGAGCCGCAGGGCACAUUGACUUUAGACCACAUCAUGGAGGGCCACAAGGAAAAGAAACUACUGUAGUUACCAUAAAACUUUGGUAUAUCAUACAUAACAUCGUACACAAAAACAGGACCGACAUAGUUAUUGUGGAGUAGAAUAGUGGAUAACACAAAAAAUUAACGGGCUUACUAGGCUAACGCCAAUAAAUGGGCGGCCUUUCAAAUCGAGUGCUGAAAGUAUGAAAAACUAUUCGACCUUCACAAAGGUUUAGGAGAAUGUUCAGGAGCACUCCAAAUUAUCCAUUUACUUGCUGCCUUAGCUCACAGUUGGAAAAAUAAGUAUGGAAAAUCAAAGAGAAAGAGCUAGCUGGCAUAUUCACAGUGGGUCAUGGCUUCGGGUUUGCUAUGUUGUGUUUAAUGAAAAGUGCAGAAAUUUGGGCCAGUUGGUACAUAACUGCAAAAAGGAAUAAGAGCAUACAGACGGGACAAUGGAGAGACAGAGCUGCUUACAACUAAACGCUAAUGAUAGGAAAUCCGACGCAGUCAUGUGCGCAGGUGCAUUGCUAUCCCACCAUGUCAAAACAACAAGUACUGUGCUAGACAAAUGUUAGAGAACAUGCUCCGGCGCAUUCCUUCCUUAGUGUGACAGUGAAUGGGACCGUACAGACUUAGACAUGUGCGUAUAGGUAGCCCAGUCACCUGUAUGCAAGUCCGUACGAUACCAUUCACUGCCAGCUUGUUACUCAGAGGGAGGAGUGCGCCAGAGUAUGUUCCAUAAACUUUUGUCCAGCACUUUACAAGUAUAAAACUGAUUAACAAUGUAGAAUGGGCUAGUUGGUAUGACAUCUUGACUAUGGAGCUGUGGCAGACAAGGACAACACCACUCCACAAUCAACUGGUUUAUUUCUGGAAAAACAGAAAAGGAAGGUUGAACGUUUGGGAUUGGGGGUUUUGAGACGACCUGAUUAAAAAGGAACUUUACACCUAGUGGUGAUCUUUUCCUGCUGUCCUUGUCUGCAUAGCUCCGUGGUCAAGAAGUCUCUACAAGUAUGUCAGACAAGACACUCAAAAUGACAUUUUUAGGCAUGUGCAAACAAAACCACCCUAGUGAUAAGGAGUGACACAAGUGAAAAAAUUCCUAUGAUUUGAAUAAAAAUUCAAGUUCCUUA